rnacentral:rRNA from 1 species
CCUACGGGCGGCAGCAGUGAGGAAUAUUGGUCAAUGGGCGGGAGCCUGAACCAGCCAAGCCGCGUGAGGGAAGAAGGUACAGCGUAUCGUAAACCUCUUUUGUCAGGGAACAAAGGCGGGGACUAGUCCCCGGAUGAGGGUACCUGAAGAAAAAGCAUCGGCUAACUCCGUGCCAGCAGCCGCGGUAAUACGGAGGAUGCGAGCGUUAUCCGGAUUUAUGGGGUUUAAAGGGUGCGCAGGCGGCCUGUUAAGUCAGCGGUAAAAGCCCGGGGCUCAACCCCGGCGAGCCGUUGAAACUGGCGGGCUGGAGUUGGAGAGAAGUACGCGGAAUGCGCGGUGUAGCGGUGAAAUGCUUAGAUAGCGCGCAGAACCCCGAUUGCGAAGGCAGCGUACCGGCUCCACACUGACGCUGAGGCACGAAAGCGUGGGUAUCGAACAGGAUUAGAUACCCCAGUAGUC